rnacentral:lncRNA from 1 species
GAGGCACUUCCUUCUGAACCUCCUUAGAGAUACUGAGGGUCACGUAUCACAAGCUAGGUCAAAUCCAAACUGAUGUGUACCCAAGAGCCUACACUUUGGUGACCGUGUGUCUGCAGCUGGGACAGGACCUGAUGUCCAUGUAAUGUACAGCAUAACAACUGGUAAUUCUGAAU